GUGGCUAUAGUGUAAUAGUAGCACAACAUCCUGUGGAGAUGUUUGCACGGGUGCAAAUCCCGUUAGUCACCCCA
rnacentral:tRNA from 1 species